GGCUUGGUGUGCAUCUCUGCGUCAUUAAUGUGGUUUGACGCUGCUUUAACUGCCGUGGCGCACGACUAUGGAAUCCUGGGGGCUGUAGUUUUGCACUCUUGGGUAGAGAAGACUUUGGGAAACGACAACCACCACUGUUGCAUAGCAUUGAAACACGGCAGUUAAAAAUAAUGUCAAGGGAUUGUGUUGUCGAAGGCUUUCAUGGCCGGAACCACUGGGUUGCUGUGAGUUUUCCGGGCUGUAUUUGGCCGUGUUCCAGAAGCAUUCUCCUAACGUUUGGCCCACAUCUAUGGCAGGCAUGCUCGGAAAUUGUGAGGUCUGUAGGAGACUAAGCAAGUGGGGUUUAUAUAUCUGUGGAAGGUCCAAGGUGGGGGAAAGGACUCUUGUCUGUUUGAGGCAACUGUGAAUGUUUCCUGCCUUGUUGGGAGGUGUUAGCUGGCCCUGAUUGAUUCACGUCUGGAAUUAAUCAACUCACACCUCCCAACAAAGGAUUCCCCCAGGCAGGAAGCAGGAAUCUGCUCAGUGGUCUAAAUCCUUCACUGCAGACAACUAUUAUUUCACUGAAUGAGGACUUGGUGCUCUUUCCAAAGACAAACGUGCCUUCUAUGAAGUGAAGUUCACAGGACAUGACUAACCACCUUACCACAUUGGGAAAUUUCCCCCUCCUGGGGCCCUUAAGCCUCUUUUCAAGCAUGGAGAGGCACUGCGCUCAUCGCAUGAGUUCGACUACUUCUGACAGUCAUGCAUAGCCCUCCAUGGUUGAAAAGAGGCAGGAGUGUCCUGACACAUUGCUCCAACACAUUGCUCUUAUCCUACCUUCAGUGGGAAGGGCUGUCUAAGUUACAGAUAGCUAAGUAAGCAAUACACAAGGAUAGGUCUCUGGUUACCUCUGAUGGACAAACCUUUUCAUAGUUAACGUACAGCAUACAAAGCAUGAGUCCUGAACCAUAGUGACCUCUGUGUUUGAUUUAUGACUCAGACUCAUACAAAGAAGGAAGAAAGUAGAAGUCAGAUUCCAUGGAAUCAAAAACAGAUCUUCCUGAUUUAAUUUGAUUUUUUCCAAAUUAUAUAACUCAAACUGCCCUAAUGCCAGAGAUUUCCUUUGGCUCGAUCAGUUGGACCAGAGUAAUCAUGUACUUGGUGCAUUCUGGAGCUGCCACAGUACAAAAACAUGGGCCCUACCCAGACCUUAUUAAAAAUGUGCUGGCCUUCAAUAAAAUUACUUUAUUUCUCUGGCCAUUGUGAACCCCUGUAGUUGAAGAUGGGCAACUGAAGCACAUUCCUUUGGGUGCCUGCUGGUUCAGUUCUUGUUCCAGGCACCAGCAUGCAAGCAGCACCUUUUGGUUUUUAAGAAGUUUUCAGCAGUAUCCAAGCCUCCAAGGUUUCAAACACCAUUACCAGAAGGUCUGAGGCACCCUGCCCUUUGGCCAAGGUCUGGAAGCAUGUCCUCUGUGUUCUGCUCCAGAGAUUGAUGCUUCUAAUAGUAAAAAAAAAUCAAGAACAAAAAAACAUUUCCUUGUAAUCUGAUGAUUCCUGGAAUGUCUCAACCACUGGGCCUGCGCUUAUCAGACAUGGGUUUAAUUAGAAAACAGUAUUUCCUACAAUCACUCCUGUGGUGGCAAGUCUAUCACAGGGUUUUCUUCAUAGAAUUGGUUCAAAAGUGGGUUUCCCUAGCUUUCCUCUGAGGUUAAGAGGGUUGACCUGCCCAAGGUCACUCUGGGGGUUUCCAGGGCCAAGAUGGAUUCAAACCCAGGUAUCCCAAUGUCCCAGGCACUCAAUCUUCUAUGCUAUGCUACUGUCCCAAGUAGGAUGUUUGUAUAGACAUAACCAUUAAUCUCUCUUUCAGCCAUGGGUUGAAAAUGUCCGGUCAGGAACCAGCUUGUAAAACAUUCAUGGAGAUGGUAGCAGCUUUAUAAUAUCUCAGGAAAGGUCUUUCUCUCCAGCAUUCUCUGUUAGGACUCUUGUCAUUAUAGUGUGUGUAGUUCCGUAAUCAGAAUCUCCAGAAAAUGAGUUUGAGGUCUUACUCAUUCUGACUCAACAGCAUGGCUAGCCAAUCAAGAGGUGGUGGGUAGCACAAAAUAUAGCUACAGUAGAGUCUCACUUAUCCAAGCUAUACGGGCCGGAAGAAGCUUGGAUAAGCUAAUAUCUUGGAUAAUGAGGGAUUAAGGAAAAGCCUAUUAAACAUCAAACUAGGUUAUGAUUUUACAAAUUAAGCACCAAAACAUCAUGUUAUACAACAAAUUUGAUGGAAAAAGUAGUUCAAUAAGCAGUAAUGUUAUGUUGUAAUUACUGUAUUUACCAAUUUAGCACCAAAAUAUCAUGAUAUGUUGAAAACAUUGUCUACAAAAAUGGCUUGGAUAAUCCAGAAGCUUGGAUAAUCGAGGCUUGGAUAAGUGAGACUCUACUGUAUUUACAGAUGAGAUCCCUUGGAGACCAUGUAAAAUGUAUUACUUCUACUGCCUGACUGUGGAUCAGGUGUGGGUGACUCCCAAGCCUCCAAUUAUAGUACUUUGGCCAAGAUGCCUAUUGGUAAUAGGAAUUGCAUUCCAAUAACAUCUGGAAAAAUAGAAAUUGGCCUCCUCUGUUGCAGAUUAUAAUGGAAUUGCUCGUGAGGGAAGGGAGUGUUCUGUUGCCUAGAAAACACACAUUGUUGGGGUUGUUGUAUGUCUUUCGGGCUGUGUGGCCAUGUUCCAGAAGCAUUCUCUCCUGACGUUUCGCCCACAUCUAUGGCAGGCAUCCUCAGAGGUUGUGAGGUAUGGAUAAACAAAACACACAUUGUUGCCCCUUAAUGAUGAAAGCAAUUACGGUAUUGCAAACUGGGGAGCCACCUUAACUGUAUGGAUUGCUGUUUGUGAAAUACAAAAUAUAUACACUGAAAGGAUGCACUUGUAGCUAAAGAAACAUGUCCUAAUGCUCUACUUUAGAAACCACAUUGCUUCUUUGAUCUUGUUUUUGCAUUCAUAAGCAAACUUUCCACUGCCAAAUAGUUGUUUCAUUGCAGAAGGCAGCAGUGCAGAGCACUUUUGAUAGGUACUGCAUGUAUGACUAGAGGCAAGAGAACUCAGAACAAGCAAAAAUUUCCAUCUUACAAAAACAAGGAUUUAUUUCUCAUUUAUUAUAAAAUCCAUUCUGCUGCAGUGUUCACUACAAUCUUUGCCACUUCAUUUUUACUCUGUUACUAAGCUGAAAAUGUUUCAUGGAGGCUUACAUAUUUUGCCCUCAAUUGAUGCUUUUGCAGUAGAUAGAACACUGAAGGAAACAGCGAUGGGAAGGUGAUGGUGGUAACUGGGUAACAGAUAUCAAUUCUUAAAGUUUACAGUUGCAGGUAUAUCAGAAUCUAUUUACUGCAACAUAAAAUACUUUAGUCAUAACUUGGCAUAUAAAAUUGUACUAAUGGAUAUCUGGGAUACUGUGGGAUGUAUUUUAGAGGAUGAUCCUAUUUGAUCUUGGAAAGUAAGCAGGGCCGGCCUGCUUACUACUUGGAUGGGAAACUGCCAACAAAUAGCAGAUACUGUAGGAUGUACAGUAUUUCAUAGGAACAAACUGGCAAAAUCGCCUAAGAGUAUCCCUGGCCUAAGAAAACUCUUUCAUAUUUGAUUGUGCUAAGUUGACAGGCAACUUGGAGGCACAUCUAUCUAUAAAAUUUAAAAUGAUAAAGUCUUAAUUUACAAGGAAACCAUGACUAUAUGCUACCAAAAUACCCUGCUAACUUCUGGAACAAUUCCAUUAGCAAUGCCUCUGAAAAAUCCUGCAAAUCUCUUGAGAAGACAGGCAGACAGAUGUCAGUGUGCUGGAAGAAGCAAAGAUCCUCCACCAUCAACUUUGCUGGACUGGCCAUGUUCCCCGAAUGCCCAAUCACUGUACUCCCAACUCAAGAAUGGAAAACGGAAUGUUGGUGGACAGCAAAAGAGAUUUAAAGAUGGGCUUAAAGCUAGCCUUAAAAACUGGCAUAGACAAUGAGAACUGGGAAGCCCUGGCCCUUGAGCGCUGUAAUGAGAUCAGCUGUUCCCAGCAGUGCUGUGGAAUUAGAAGAGGCAUGAGUGAAGGGAGAAAGGUAGAAACGUGUCAAGAGGAAGGCGCGUCAAGUCAACUUUUGUUGGGACCAUAUUUCAUCUGGAAAUCAAUGUGCUCACUGUAAAAAAAUAGAUCUCUACAGUCAUCUAUGGACCCACCGCCAAGACCCUAUACUUUGAAGGCAAUCAGACCAAUUGUCACACCCAGUGGUAUCUGCUUGGAUCUUAGUUUUUACCAUCACAAAAGUAAAUUGGAAAAUGGGGAAAAAAGAAACCACAACACUUAUUAUAAACAGAAGGAAGUGUAGUAUUUGUUUCUAGGAUGGUAUGCAACCCAUCAUAUGUAGCUGGGGUGCAACUUCCAGCAUUCCUCACAAUUGGCUAUGAGGACUAGAACUGCUGAGAGUUGUACUCCAAUAACAUCUGAAGGGCCAUAUAACUCCCAAUUCCUGAUUUAGACACAAUAUUUGGAAUAGAAGCAUAUUUGAAUAUAAUUUUUCAUUCAACAUUUAAAAUACUCAAUUCCAUUAAAAAUGACAAAAAUCAGUCUUCCAAAUGUGAUCUUUUUUCAUGCAUCUUGGAUUUGAAUCUAAUUGUAAGCACAGGGAUUGUUUUCUAACUCUUUGGACUGUCUCAAAAUCUUCAUAUUAGCUAAUUGCUGGGAUUCUUGAGGAGGAGGAAAACCAUGUCUUUAAAAGCACUGCACUAAAUGCAGAAUUAAAAAUAUCCCAUUAAUUUCCCCCUUUCUGUUAUAAAGUUUAAAAUUUUCCAAUGUGAGUGGGAAAAUAUUAUUCAAUUUUUAAUUGUUUAUUUUCCUGGGCUUUCAUAUGUCAAAGCUGGGGAAAAAAAUUGAAACCUCGAAGACGUAAUUCUAUGUGAAUGUUGACAGUACUGGACUAGAUGUACUUAGGACAGCUUCUUAUGGGUUUUUUUAAAUAGGUAGACAGUUAUAAUGAAUGAAAGUAAAUUAAUUAUCAAUUAAAUGGGAAAAUGAAAAAGAAAGCUUUGCUUUCAACACUCCUCUGCAUUUUCCUGAGUUUAUUACAAACCUUUUGCAGCAAUUUCUUGACUCAUAGUGACCACAGGGGGAAUUUAGAAACACCGAUAGGCUGCCUUGUUGCAUAAUACAGAUCAAGAGAAUUCUUUUUCUCAUCUAGCCUUUGAGCAAAUGAGUUAAGGUCACUGCUUUUUGAUGACAAAUAUUCAGAUUACAGAUGAUAGCCUGAAGAGGUGGUAAUGCAAGCAUGUGGAAAUAACUUGCUAGGAAUGGGAAAAAUAUACAGCUGUUCUUGCCUUCAACAAUCUGGUGUAAAGGCUACUGGGAGUAUUGUCAGUGGGUUUUUUUAAUCGUAAAGCAAUUAUCCAAUACUUGCUCAGAUUGUUUCUACUGCUUUUUUUUGGCUAUUCCUAGAAAUUGUGAUGCUAAAAGUAUAAAAAAAACCCUGAAAUCAUUAAACAGUUUAUUUUAUAACAUUUGUUACUUGCUUUUUAUUAUGAAAUAGCCCCAAAUUAUUGGAGUCCCAAAUUAUCGGAGCCCUUGGUGGUGCAGGGGGUUAAACAGCCGAGCUGCUGAACUUGCUGACCAAAAGGUCAGUGGUUCAAAUCGGGGGAGCGGAGUGAGCUCCCACUGUUAGCCCCAGCUUCUGCCAACCUAACAGUUCGAAAACAUGCAAAUGUGAGUAGAUCAAUAGGUACCACUCUGGUGGGAAGGUAACAGCACUCCAUGCAAUCAUGCCAGCCACAUGACCUUGGAGGUAUCAAUGGUCCAUGCUGGCUCUUCGGCUUAGAAAUGGAGAUGAGCACCAACCACCAGAGUCAGACACAGCUAGACUUAAUGUCAGGGGAAAACCUUUACCUUUAGCCCCAAAUUUAAAUACAGCUGUACAAUCUAUAGUUACCAAAAAAACAGGAAAUUGGAAGAAAGCAUACACUAUUAAAAAUCAGUGUGCGCAAUACGGUGACACAGAUUCAGCCCAAAGGUUGGGUGAUUAAGUAGGUCAUCAGUUUGCAAGGCACGCUUACAAAAACAUGAUGCUAAUGCUACUGCUGUCUGAACAGAGCCAGUAGGGUGUAGAAAGAGAUUUGGCUGGCAAUUCAGUCUUUACCUAAGGGCUUUUUGGGGCUUGGCUGAUGAAUGAGCUAAAAGGCAGGUGGAGGAGGGAAUUCCUUUCAGGCAGGCUUAAUGAUUUGUUUAAAAUGGUUUCACUAUUUUUGUGGAGGAUUUUCUCAAACAGGAGAGCUAUGGCUACCUUUGCAUAUGACCAAUCUUUGAAAGAGCAAUAAUGGCGGUCUGGGUGUAUGUGGAGAGCACUUAAUUUCAGAAACCAAACCAAUCUUUACAGAAGAUGUCAUGCAAUGCUAUCAUCAUAGGCAAUCACUUGUGGCUGAGUAUGAUUGUCUUCUAAGUUUAGAGUCUUGGCAGUGGGUCUUUAAAUGAUUGUGGAGACCUAUUUUGGAUCUGCAUGGUCUUUCAAAACAUAGAUUUCCAGAUGGAAGGCAGUCACAACUAUGGUGCUCCUUACUCUAGGCACAUUUAUUCCUUUCAUCCUCUAUUCGUGCCUCCCCAAAAUAUAUAGCACCCUUAGUAACAGCUCCAGUCACAACAUCUGAGGGCAGGGCUUCCCAGUUCUUGAUGUUUAAACCCAUCUUUAAAUAUUGUUUGUUGUCCACUGACAUUCUGUUUUCCAUUUUUGAGCUGAAAGUAAAGUAACUGCUUAGGGAGAUGGUGAUUAGGCAUUCAUACAACAUGGCCAGUCCAGUGAAGUUGAUGGUGGAGGAUAAUAAUAAUAAUAAUAAUAAUAAUAAUAAUAAUAAUAAUAAUAAUAAAACUUUAUUUAUACCCCGCCACCAUCUCCCCAACGGGGACUCGGGGCGGCUUACAUGGGGCCAUGCCCAGGACAAUACAAUAUAGCAAAAUAUAAAAACAACAUAUCAUAAUACAAUUAAACAAUACAAUAAAUAAUCAUGUACAGUACAACACAAAAUCAAAAAAGCAAUAUAACAGGGCGGGCCGCAUGAACACUCAGUUAAAACUUGGGGUGAGAAAAAGAUAAGAAUAAAAACCACGGGGAACAGGGACAUAAGAUAGAAAAACAGUCUAGAGGAUAGAUGUUAGGGGGAGUAACAAAAGAAGGAUCAUCGCUUCAGUGCUGGUGGUCUUUGAUUCUUUCAGAACGUUGAUGUUUGCCACCUGUCUUCCAAAGAGAUCUGCAGGAGUUUUUGAAGGCGGUGCUGAUGGAAGCUUUCCAGAAGUCGAGAGUGGCAUCUGCAGAUGGUCCAUGUUUCACAGGCCUACAGUAGAGUAUGAAGGACAAUGGCUUUAUAAACAAGCAUCUUGGUAUCACUGAAUAUCCCAAUUCUCAAACACUCUGUUUCAUUCCAAAAAAUGAUGCACCCGCAAAGUUCAGACAGUGUUGUUUUUCAAUAUCAAUGUUGAAUUUUGACACAAGAUCCUGUCUGAUCUUGGAAGAUAAGGAGCUCUGGCUAGUAUUUGGAUGGGAGACCACCAAGGAAUACCAGGUACUGUAGGCUAUGUUUCAGAAGAAGCAAAACUACCUUUGAGUAUUCUUACCUAAGAAAACUCUAUGAAAUUGAUGCAGUUACCAUAAAUCAGCAGGUGACUUGAAGGCUCAUGUACACACAAUACUAUACUGUGCAUACUUACUAGAAAGUUCUGAUCCUCAGGGGCAUGGACUUUUAAGUAAACAUGGUUGAUUUAGAUAGUUUCUAGGGAUGAGCAAAUGAUUCAACAGAAGUGGGCAAUCUUCAAACUACAUGUGGUUAAUACGUAUUUCUCAGCACUCAACCAGGUCUCUUCAACCGUCUUUGAAGUGUCUAGAAACAGAAGAGGAAAACCAUCUGAUGAAGUCCUAUGCAAGGACCAUGAGCUUGAUCCAAUUAUAAUUUAAAAAAUGAACCCUUGUAAAUAACAAGAACUUUCAAUAACCGCUGGACGAUUUAUAACCAGUUAACAUUGCAAUGCCAAAUAACUAAUUGCCCAUUGUUUCCUAUUUCAAUUUCUAUAAGUCCCUGUCCCUUUUGACACUGCUAUUUUCCCAGUUAACAUAUGCAAAUGGUGUCCAUUAAGAUGGAGACCUAUGUUGCUGAAGUUUCUCAGGUAUGUGCUCUGAUUUGGGAAGAACGGUAUCAUUUGAUUCCACAGCACGAGCUAUAGCCAAGCUGUAGUUUAAAGAAUAAAAUAAGUCUCACACGUCUGAAAUCCAUUCAUUCUUAAUGUAAUGUGUAAACUAGCUUGUUAAGAAAGUUGAUAUGGUACCCCUGUAUUUUUUUACAGCUGCCAUAUGCUUCAUGGAAAUUGAAAAUAACUCUUUUAAGCCAGUGCUUUUCCAGAUCUUGCUUGAAUUCAAUUUUCUGAAGAGACUCAGGGGUUUCUUGUUAUGUUUGCAUGACACACCAUUGACAUCUCCGGCCCAUCCUCUGUUUGGAUAUCAGCCAGCAUGCCAACACCUUAAAUCAAGGAAUAGCUUUUUAAGAUCUACAGAGAUACUCGCAGGAACACCUCAGCAAGCAAGAGUCCAAAAGUGGCAGGCUAAAACCCGGAACCUAAAUCUGUGGCUGAUACUGGAUGAGAGACUCCCUCCUGGGCACACAGAAGACUGGGCGACUUAGAAGGUGCUGAACAGACUGCGCUCUAGAACCAUGAGAUGCAGAGCCAACCUUAAGAAAUUGGGCUAAAAAGUGGAGUCCACGACGUGCGAGUGUGGAGAAGAGAAAACCACAGACCACUUACUACAAUGCAGUCUGAGCCCUGCCAAAUGCACAGUGGAGGACCUUAUCACAGCGAUACUAGAGGCACUCCAAGUGGCCAGCUUCUGAUAAAAAUUUUUUUAGUAUAAUGCCAAGUUUUAAACUUUGUGGUUUUUUAUACAUUAUAACUGUACAGUGUUCCCUCACUUAUCACAGGGGUUAGGUUCCAGGACCACCCGCAAUAAGUGAAAAUCCGCGAAGUAGGGACACUAUAUUUAUUUUAAUAUUUAUACAUUAUUUUAGUAGUUAUACACUAUUUUAAGUCUUUAUCAGCCAAUUGUGUGUUGAUAAAUCGCCUCCUCCUCCUGUUGCUGCUUGGGCUCCUUUUUUCUCCCUUCAGCUUCUCCUUCCUCCCUUUCUUAGGUUGUAAUUGUAAUUUUUAUGAUUUAUAAUAGUCUUUUAGAGUUUAUUGAAAACCUGCAAAACAGCAAAUCCGCAAAAAGUGAACCACAAAGUUGUGAGGGAACACUGUAUUCUCAAUUAGUUUCUAACACCAUGAAUAAAUAACACUGUAGCUGUCACAUGAAUAUGUCAUGACACACAGUUUGGAAAGCUCUGGAUUAGUGCUUAACAAUCAUAAAUCUUUCUGAAAAUAAACAAUGUUCCCAAGA